AGCUCCAAUAGCGUAUAUUAAAGUUGUUGCAGUUAAAAAGCUCGUAGUUGAAUUUCUGAUCAUUUUUAGUCUUGGCUUCGGUCGGGCUAAGGUUGGUCAUCCGUCUGCAAGGUACUCUCGGCCUUUGCUGGUUCGGAAUAUUGAGCUGACAUUUUACUUUGAAAAAAUUAGAGUGUUUCAGGCAGGCAUUUGCCCGAAUACAUUAGCAUGGAAUAAUGGAAUUGGACUUAGGUUCAUUUGGUUGGUUAUUGAAUCUGAGUAAUGGUUAAUAGGGACAGUUGGGGGCAUUAGUAUUUAAUUGUCAGAGGUGAAAUUCUUGGAUUUAUUAAAGACUAACUUAUGCGAAAGCAUUUGCCAAGGAUGUUU
rnacentral:rRNA from 1 species